AUCGCCUUCUUCCUAUUUCCUUCCAGUUCAGCCCUGCGAAGAAAAUCCUCUUCAGUGGCAAAGGGGUUUACCAUUCUUCUAACGGUCAAAAGGUCUAGGAUGUCUUGGCUGUGAGCCAUGGACACCUGAGAGCAGAACACUUUAGAGAGAGAGGUUUCAAGAGCCAUAGGGUCCAUCAGUGGUGGUCCAUUGCUAUGUUAUAGCAGCUCCUUUUCCCCAUUUUCUUCUCAUGAACAAGAGGAAGAAGAAAGAAGAGAGAUGAUGAUGUGGGUGAUCCCCUUUUUUCCUCACUAAGCCUCCUUUUAAAGCCUUCAUCUUUGUCUUUAGCUUAUUAAUCUUGAGACCCACCAACAUCCACUUGAACACAUGCAAAGGCCCACAACUAUUGACUCUAUCCAAAAGUAAGUCGAUUCUGCAGAAAAA